rnacentral:rRNA from 1 species
UCAUACGGAGUCAUGCUGAUGCCGACUCCCCCGAAACGCUCAGGCGCUUGUAGGAUUGUGGCUGCGGCCGAUUAGGUAGACGGUGGGGUAACGGCCCACCGUGCCGAUAAUCGGUACGGGUUGUGAGAGCAAGAUCCCGGAGACGGAAUCUGAGACAAGAUUCCGGGCCCUACGGGGCGCAGCAGGCGCGAAUCCUUUACACUGCACGCAAGUGCGAUAAGGGGACCCCAAGUGCGAGGGCAUAUAGUCCUCUCUUUUCACGACUGUAAGGCGGUCGUGGAAUAAGAGCUGGGCAAGACCGGUGCCAGCCGCCGCGGUAAUACCGGCAGCUCAAGUGAUGACCGAUUUUAUUGGGCCUAAAGCGUCCGUAGCCGGCCACGAAGGUUCAUCGGGAAAUCCGCCAGCUCAACUGGGGGGCGUCCGGUGAAAACCACGUGGCUUGGGACCGGAAGGUUCGAGGGGUACGUCCCGGGGUAGGAGUGAAAUCCCGUAAUCCUGGACGGACCACCGAUGGCGAAAGCACCUCGAGAAGACGGAUCCGACGGUGAGGGACGAAAGCUAGGGUCUCGAACCGGAUUAGAUACCCGGGUAGUCCUAGCUGUAAACGAUGUUCGCUAGGUGUGACACAGGCUACGAGCCUGUGUUGUGCCGUAGGGAAGCCGAGAAGCGAGCCGCCUGGGAAGUACGUCCGCAAGGAUGAAACUAAAGG